rnacentral:rRNA from 1 species
CCAAUAGCGUAUAUUAAAGUUGUUGCAGUUAAAAAGCUCGUAGUUGAACUUCGGAAACGGUGGGUUGGUCGUGCCUCCGGUACGUACUGGUCUUACCGGUUCCUCCCUUCUGACGAACCACGAUGCCAUUAAUUUGGUGUUGUGGGGAAUCAGGACUGUUACUUUGAAAAAAUUAGAGUGUUUAAAGCAGGCUAAAGCUUGAAUAGAUUAGCAUGGAAUAAUGAAAUAGGACGUUUGAUCUUAUUUUGUUGGUUUCUAAGAUCGACGUAAUGAUUAAUAGGGAUAGUUGGGGGCAUUAGUAUUCAAUUGUCAGAGGUGAAAUUCUUGGAUUUAUUGAAGACUAACUACUGCGAAAGCAUUUGCCAAGGAUGUUUUCAUUAAUCAAGAACGAAAGUUAGGGGAUCGAAGACGAUCAGAUACCGUCGUAGUCUUAACCAUAAACUAUGCCGACUAGGGAUCGGAUGAUGUUAAUUUUUUAAUGACUCAUUCGGCACCUUACG